UGGCGAAGGUCCCAGCAGAGGGGUAUAGACUCGAUAGUGAGACCUCUCUAACGAUAAUAAAAACCUUCGUAGAAUGAGAUCCUUCACUUGGAUUGGCCAAUUCGUAGACGCUUGAAUGAUUUUUAGAGUAUUCAACGCGUCCAAAACCUUGGCUACAUUGCU